rnacentral:lncRNA from 1 species
CGUGGAAAGUUAAGGAGGAUAGUGACCCCGACAUGUCAAGUUAAGAGCCACAUGAAAGCUGAUGUGGAUAAACUUAGAUGGAUAAAUAUCCAUACGGGACCUGCACAUACUCAUUCCUAUCAUCCGAAGUACAUUUCUUUUCCUCCCAACUUCAGUCCAUCGCUAAUAGUCUCUUUCCCUCAAAUUUCUCUUAAAAUACCCGUUAUAUUGUUCGUGUUCUACAUUAUAAGUUGCUUUAAAUGACUAGGAAGAGAGAGUGCCCCAAUCUUAAUCUCAAUUUGAUUCAAGAAACAUCCAAUUUAAUAGAGAUAUGCUUCUUUUUCUAAUUUUACUAUUCUAAUAAAUCAUCUUAUAACAAUCUAAUUAUUUUUUUGAGUUAUGCUUUCUUUUUUAUGUCUGUUUUUCGAAUCUUAAUCCUAUUCCAUCAAUUUUGUUUUAUUUUAUUUUUUAUGAUUUUCUAAAAAUUAGUGUUUAUAAAUUGAUUUUUUUUGUCC